rnacentral:rRNA from 1 species
ACUCCUACGGGAGGCAGCAGUAGGGAAUCUUCCACAAUGGGUGCAAACCUGAUGGAGCAAUGCCGCGUGAGUGAAGAAGGUCUUCGGAUCGUAAAGCUCUGUUGUUAGAGAAGAACACGUGCUAGGUAACUACUAGCGCCUUGACGGUAUCUAACCAGAAAGUCACGGCUAACUACGUGCCAGCAGCCGCGGUAAUACGUAGGUGACAAGCGUUGUCCGGAUUUAUUGGCGUAAAGGAGCGCAGGCGGUCUGUUUAGUCUAAUGUGAAAGCCACGCGUUAACCGUGGAACGGCAUUGGAAACUGACAGACUUGAAUGUAGAAGAGGAAAUGGAAUUCCAAGUGUAGCGGUGGAAUGCGUAGAUAUUUGGAGGAACACCAGUGGCGAAGGCGAUUUUCUGGUCUAACAUUGACGCUGAGGCUCGAAAGCGU